UCAAUUUUUUGCUGUUUCAUC
rnacentral:piRNA from 1 species